ensembl:processed_transcript Platr32 pluripotency associated transcript 32
UGACUUGUCACUGUGACUUAUUGCUUAUCUCACUAGGCUAAGUGACUUAUCUGGGUAUCGCUUCUUUCUGUAUCUGGCGUUUGUCAAUAGCAGUGAACAAAGAAGAGAAGAAGAGGAAGCAGGACUCUUCUUGGGGUUGUUACAGAGGAGGAGNNNNNAGAAGAAGAAGAAGAAGAAGAAGAAGAAGAAGAAGAAGAAGAAGAAGAAGAAGAAGAAGAAGAAGAAGAAGUGGCAGAAGAAAGAAAAAGGAAGUGGAAGGAAGAAAGCAAAAUGAAACACUCGAAACAUUUUUUAGGGUUGUAAAUCACAGGUUCUUGGAAGGCUGAGGCAAGUAGAUCACAAGUUUUAGAAUUAUUCAACCUACUGUCUAAAAAAAG